GGGGCUGUAGCUCAGUGGCAGAGCACUUGCCUAGCAUGUGUGAGGCACUGGGUUCAAAGCCCAGCAGCACCA
rnacentral:tRNA from 1 species